UACGGAGGAUCCGAGCGUUAUCCGGAUUUAUUGGGUUUAAAGGGAGCGUAGGUUGACGUAUAAGUCAGCUGUGAAAGUUUACGGCUCAACCGUGAAAUUGCAGUUGAUACUGUUAUUCUUGAGUGUACAUAAGGUAGGCGGAAUUCGUGGUGUAGCGGUGAAAUGCUUAGAUAUCACGAAGAACUCCAAUUGCGAAGGCAGCUCACUGGGGUACAACUGACACUGAGGCUCGAAAGUGUGGGUAUCAAAC
rnacentral:rRNA from 1 species